UACGAAGGGGGCUAGCGUUGCUCGGAAUCACUGGGCGUAAAGGGUGCGUAGGCGGGUCUUUUAAGUCAGGGGUGAAAUCCUGGAGCUCAACUCCAGAACUGCCUUUGAUACUGAGGAUCUUGAGUUCGGGAGAGGUGAGUGGAACUGCGAGUGUAGAGGUGAAAUUCGUAGAUAUUCGCAAGAACACCAGUGGCGAAGGCGGACUCACUGGUCCGGUACUGACGCUGAGGUGCGAAAGCGUGGGGAGCAAACAGG
rnacentral:rRNA from 1 species